rnacentral:lncRNA from 1 species
GCCUUGAUGAUGUUGAUUCGCUACUGUUAGAAAAAUCAUAUGUAAUGGAUUGGGAUAUAUCGAAUGUAUUGAAAUGGUUGGGUAGUGACUAUUGUAAUUUGGUUAGAUAAUAUGUAAUUGAAAGCGAGUGAAAAUUUGAAUGGUUUAUAUAAUAUGGUAUGGAAUCAAAUUACAGGAAAUUUGGGGAAAAUGAAAUUGAAUGGACAAAGAGCUCCAUGAAUUUGAAUGGUUUAUGUAAUAUGGGUGAAAUUG